GCCGAAAACAUUUUGCGCUCUGAUGAUUUUGCCAAGACCGCGAUCUGCUUUCGGUGA
rnacentral:pre_miRNA from 2 species